rnacentral:rRNA from 1 species
ACGCUCGACACCUAUGGGGAGGCAGCAGUGGGGAAUAUUGCACAAUGGAGGAAACUCUGAUGCAGCGAUGCCGCGUGAGGGAAGAAGGUUUUCGGAUUGUAAACCUCUGUCUUUGGGGACGAUAAUGACGGUACCCAAGGAGGAAGCUCCGGCUAACUACGUGCCAGCAGCAGGUACGGUAAUCUGGAGGCGGGUCGUGGACGAAGGC